rnacentral:ncRNA from 1 species
UGAAAAGCAGUUGGUACGUGUCGUAAAGCAUUGCACUGCACCCAACUUUAAAACCAUUGCCGUUGGAGGUCUGCUUCCCACUUGUGGGUUGAGCGACCCAUGAAACGGUGAUGACCUGAGGAAUGGGAUAUUU